rnacentral:ncRNA from 1 species
GGAAGCUGGUGCAAAUCCAGCACGGUCGCGCCACUGUGACCGGUUGCAGCGCAAACCGGAAGUCAGAC